GUUGUCCGUGUGGUUCACGUUUGUCAGCUUUUCUUUCCCAUGCGUAUGCUGCCGUGUCCACCAAAAUACAGGGAAAAGAUUCAUUAUUACGGAGGCGAGUCGGAUUUGUAGAAGAACCAGCGCUGCGGUUAUUUAACCUUGGAAACCUGUGGCGAAGAGGUUUGAUCGGGGAUCAAGGUCGCGUCGGUGACAAGGUCGUGUGUGCUGCUGCGUCUGACAGCUGUCUUUGGAGCAAUCCUGUGUUGGUACCAAAAGCGGCUGUGAAAGUCAGAACAUGGCGGCCGUGGUGAUCUGGCAGCUGGCAGGCGAUCAAGGCGUGGGACGGCGAUGGGCGAAGCAGGACCUGGGGGGCCCGAUCGGCGGCACGCCGCGCCAGCUCCCUCAAGCUGCCCCCCGUGCGAGAUUCUGGAACCGUGGCUGAUGAAAUAUGCAUGGGGGUCGUCCGGCACGGUGCCACCGGUACGUCGCGUUCUCUGGCUCUCCGUGCGUAUUUAUUUAUUUUCUUUUUUUUGUUCUAUGAACAAAUAAAAGUGGCUACAGCAA